CUUCAACAUAUUGGUCCAUUUUCUUUUAAAGAGAGCAGAACAGACUGGAAGAAAAAAGACCAUGAUGAUGCUGCUAUGCUUCGUGGUAAUAUUUUUGACACAAUAUAUUAUUAGUCCUUGCUUUUCCGAGGAGCGCCCUGGUGAAAUAGGUACAACGGCUUCUUCAAAAAGCGCACCUAUUCGACUACCCCCUAUCAAGUUUAAUGCUGAGGAUGGCUCCGGUGAAACUGAUGGAACGAGUGUUACUGAAAUUCUAUCCCCUCGACUUUCGUCUGAACGGCUUAGUGAGAGACACGUGGAACCUGGUAGAACGCCAACUGCGGAGACUCUACCAUUUCCACCGCCUCCCUACGAACUUCUUGGUAAUAUGCACAUUCUGUAUGGAAAUAGCUGCACAUAUCAAGAUUAUAGCUUGACUAUGGGCCUCUCGCUUGACUUGGGCAACCCGUGCAUAAGCCUAAAAUGCAGACCGGAGCGGUCCCAACUGAUAAUUACUGGAUGUCCACCUCCGCAAGAUUAUCAACUUACCCACAGAGACGCAGAAGAUUUCUGGCCCGGAUGCUGCAGUAAGGAACAUGAAACUGAAGCAACCAUAAGUAACGGCGAACUACGGGGGACACCUGAAAUUCCGUAUGAAUCAUCAAAACAAUUUACGAAGUCCAAGUAAAUAAAUGAUGCGGCCUUAACUGAUCAAGGGAAGCAUGAAUUCAUGCAAAGUUCUUAUCCCAAACUAUAAAACCUAUUUCUUUUUUUUUUAGAAAGAUUGUUUCCUUCUCAAGCUACGAACGCUCAUGUUAUGUAGCCGAAGAAAUUUGUUCUUUAGUUUGAUAUGUGCCAUACAUAAUAUCGUGCCUUUUCAUCACCACAUUUUACCACUUUUGUCAUCCGCACGACGCAAUCGCCAAAAAGCGCCAGUCUGAAAUAAGUAACUCAUUGUUCCCAUCAUCCCUGAUU